rnacentral:rRNA from 1 species
UACAGAGGGUGCAAGCGUUAAUCGGAGUUACUGGGCGUAAAGAGCACGUAGGCGGUUGAAUAAGUCAGUUGUGAAAUCUCCGGGCUUAACUCGGAAAGGUCAACUGAUACUGUGCGGCUAGAGUGCAGAAGGGGCAACUGGAAUUCUCGGUGUAGCGGUGAAAUGCGUAGAUAUCGAGAGGAACACCUGCGGCGAAGGCGGGUUGCUGGGCUGACACUGACGCUGAUGCGCGAAAGCCAGGGGAGCGAACGGG